rnacentral:rRNA from 1 species
ACUGGGGGACGUAUAACCGGAAUAAUAAUUUCGGUUAGCUAUGAUGGUAGUUACUUUUUUAAAGUGCUUAUUAAAACGAAAAUGGUAAAACAAAUUAUUUUUAAUGGGUAACAAAGAAAAAGCUAGCUUUUAUUGUAGGCAGUUAGAUAACUAUUAUUGUUAUUCAAUAAAGUUUAUAUUUGUCGUGUUGAGUAUUUACUCAAACAAACGCAUAGUGGGACUUUUGUCGCGUAAAGUUCUAGAUAUUAAACUGAUUAUGACAAUUUUUUAUCUAUAUGUCUUGACCAAAUUACGUGCCAGCAGUCGCGGUAAUACGUAGAAGACUAGUGUUAUUCAUCUUUAGUAGGUUUAAAGGGUACGUAGACGGUGAAAUUUAUCUAUGCGAUAUGUUUUCACUAGAGUUAUAUAUGAGGAGGGGAGUAUUUAUGGAGUAGAGUUGAAAUUCGUUGAUACCAUAACGACUGGUAACGGCGAAAGCAACCUUUUAUCUAAUAACUGACGUUCAGGGACGAAGGCUCGGGUCACGAACAGGAUUAGAUACCCUAGUAGUCCAAGCAGAGAAUUAUGAAUGCCAUAGAUUAGAUUUUUUUAGUCUAUAAAUGAAAGUGUAAGCAUUUCACCUCAAGAGUAAUGUGGCAACGCAGGAACUGAAAUCAUUAGACCGUUUCUGAAACCAGUAGUGAAGUAUGUUAUUUAAUUCGUAAGCACGCGAAAAACCUUACCACAAUUUGAAUAUUAUCAUUAAGAUAUUACAAGCGUUGCACGGCUGUCUUCAGUUGAUGUCGUGAGAUAUUGGUUAAUUCCUUUAAAUUAACGGAAGCCCUUGCUUUAUUUGUUUUUUAUUGAAAUACGGGCUAUAAAAACCCCUUAAGAAGUACAUUUUUAUAACUUACAAUUUAUAAAAAUAUUUUCAAUAAAAUGAAUAAAGCAGUUCACCUUUACAUUGGA